rnacentral:lncRNA from 1 species
CUUCCAUCUAACCGCUCCUACUGACCUCACCAUCAGUGAUGCAGAUGUACUUGUCACAUCAUAAACACUUGGCACCCAUUGGCUCUUCCCCAAAUGGCUAUCAGAAUUGCAGUUUCAGCCACCAGCAGCUCUCCGAUGGGCACAGGCUCCACUUAUGGCUGGUUUGGAAUGGCAAAUCCAUCACUCUCUUUGCCUGUAAAAUGCCAAGGAGACUGAUCUAAGCAGGGGGUUCCCAUCCAUGGCCUGCUCUAGGCCUGAAGGAACACAGAUGGCAUUUGCAGGAAGAUGACAUCUCACCAUCCCCAUCUGAGCAAAGCCUGCCCAUCAAACAACCAAAGGAUAGCCAGUCCCCUGCACAGUGUAAAGUGACUUGCAGUGAUCCUCUUCCCCAAGGCCAGCCCCAGCUCUCAGACCUCCAGUCCCAACAAGUCUUUUUUUGCAAAGGAGGCUCACCCUGGAACAUGGCUCUCCCAAGGGGAGACAGGAACGGAUGUUGACUUCAUCCCAGCAGCUUCUGACACAAUGCCACUAUCUUUCAACUUUCUCCACCAACAGGGUCAGGCUGUUGAUUGGCCUCGACUGCAGUUAGCCUGACACGGCUAGCAGCCUCAAAACAAAUUAAACGAGGCAGGGAUGCCGUGCAGUGAUCGUUCCAUUAUGUCCCCUCUGCUUCCACACGUGACUCACACUAUCACUUUUAGAAGGUGAAGCAUCUUAUUGAAUCAACACCUAAUCUGCACACAGUGUCACGGAGGAGGGGCGAGGGGACAGCGGGAGCAUUUUCUCUGAUCCUUUUCUUUCCUGAAGACUUCGCUGGAGACAGGCUGGGUGGGGGCGAAGAUGAAUUGUGAGGAACCCUGACCCUAUUUCAGUACUGCUGCUACUGUCAGCUCCGACAGAUUUAUAGCCCAUUCAUUCAUGGGAACAAAAACCCUGCCACGGCUGGUCAUGGGACACGCAAUAGCAGUUAGUUCAAAAGAUAACAGCUGCAAUACCUCACCUCUCCAUUCAGC